AACGAACGCUGGCGGCAGGCUUAACACAUGCAAGUCGAGCGCCUCGCAAGGGGAGCGGCAGACGGGUGAGUAACGCGUGGGAACAUGCCCAAAGGUACGGAACAACUCCGGGAAACUGGAGCUAAUACCGUAUGUGACCGAGAGGUGAAAGAUUUAUCGCCUUUGGAUUGGCCCGCGUUGGAUUAGCUAGUUGGUGGGGUAAAGGCCUACCAAGGCGACGAUCCAUAGCUGGUCUGAGAGGAUGAUCAGCCACACUGGGACUGAGACACGGCCCAGACUCCUACGGGAGGGAGCAGUGGGGAAUUUUGGACAAUGGGCGAAAGCCUGAUCCAGCCAUGCCGCGUGUGUGAUGAAGGCCUUAGGGUUGUAAAGCACUUUCGCCAGGGACGAUAAUGACGGUACCUGGAUAAGAAGCCCCGGCUAACUUCGUGCCAGCCGCCGCAGUAAGAC
rnacentral:rRNA from 1 species